rnacentral:lncRNA from 1 species
GUCACAGUGGAAACUGGAGAGUCCAGGAGAGAAUGGGCUCUGGAUGACCUAUUUUGCCAAGAAAAAAAAAAAUACUUAUCUAUGGCUGUCCAUAUGGCUCUGGGACCCCAAACCCAGGCCCUUGCACAUUAGGCAAGAGUUCUAUGGAAGUCUUAGGAACCUGAACAAGCCUGGUCAGGAGCACAGCCUGGGCGCUGUGGACCCCCAUUCACCCAGGGACUCUGGCCCCACCUUGAGGAAAAACCAGCUACCCUGAAGAUGGGCAGAUCCGUGAAGAUUCCUGAUGCCCAAGGCUCUACCAUAAAGGGAAGAAACGCUCACAGAGGCUGAGGCCAAUCAGGGGCAGAGUCCUCACAAGAGUAUGAAGGUCCGAUUUUGAUUA